CAUUGUCUUGACAAGAGCAUCCUCAGCGGGCGAGUCCCCGGCUCCUCCAGCUCCUUCCUCCUCUUCCUCCUCCUCCUUCACCUCCGGCUUUUGGGGGGUCACUGUCCUCUCUCGGCAGCAGAAUGAGCCGGCAGGUGGUCCGCUCCAGCAAGUUCCGCCACGUGUUUGGACAGCCGGCCAAGGCCGACCAGUGCUAUGAAGAUGUGCGCGUCUCACAGACCACCUGGGACAGUGGCUUCUGUGCUGUCAACCCUAAGUUUGUGGCCCUGAUCUGUGAGGCCAGCGGGGGAGGGGCCUUCCUGGUGCUGCCCCUGGGCAAGGUGAGCCCCUGGGGCCCUGGGGGGAGCAGCUCCUCCACCAGACCCAUGGCUCUGUGCAGGUCCUGAUUAGGUGACGGUCACCAGGCCUUCCAGGGCCUGUGUUGCCAUCUGGAAAACUGAGCUGGGCCCCAUGAGCCUUACACUUCCUCCAGCUCCUCUGUGCUGUGGCUGUGUGGAAACUGACGCUCAGAAGGAGCCAACACAAGAUGGGUCACACCAGUGACCAGGACUACAGACAGUCCUGCAGACCCAUGACCAGCCCUCCUGAGCCUCAGCCUGGGGCUUUCUCCCCAUGGAAACACAGAGGGGGUUGGGAUGGGGUCUGGGGGCCCUGGCAGCGUUCUCAGGGUUGGGAGGGACUCUGGCUCUGGGCCUGUCUGAGGACCUAGCAACUCUGUCCCCCAGCUCGCAGGCAGGGAUGAUGCAAGAGGUGCUCUCCCCCACCCGCAGCCCUGCCCUCCCCUGGAGCCUGCUGCCCCCUCCGCUGGCUGGCUGCUGCCCCGCACCCCCAGCACACUCCUGUGCUCUUUGGGGGGUAAGACAGGAAGGGGAGAUGGGCCCCAAGUUGUUACCUUAAAAGGGCUGAUGGAAGCAAAGAGAAGAGGAAGUGGUUGUCGGGGUGAGAGCUGGGCCCGCGCCCCACAUGGCUGUCACACAGGAAGCCCUGCUGAAGCAGCUGUCCCCGGAAGAAGCCAUUUCCAAACCUCUGCUCCUGCCUGGGGCCAGUUGGGACAGGCUCCCUGGCCCCUCUCCUUUUGGGAGGACCCACCCCUGCAGCCCCACCACUCACACUCGCUCUCUGGGGAGCCGCCUCCACCCCCCCAGCCCCCAUACACCUGUCCUGGCUCCAGGGCCAGUUGUGCCCAUGGAAGCCUCACUCGGGGAAGCUGGGGUAGGGGUGCCAACCCUAAGGGCAGAGACAGACUGAGACAGAGACCGGCGGGAACUCUGCCAGGGUCUUGCACGGCCCCCAACCUCUGCCAUGCGUGGCCAGCCCUCCUGGGGUUUGCCCAGGCCAUUUUGGGACUGGAACAAGAGAAGAACAACCCGCCCCCGUCCCCACCCCAGGCCCUGGUCCAGCUCCCAGGGACACCACAGCUUUCCUCUCUGGGCCUCUCUGAAGGAGGUGUGGGGAGGUUGGAUUGGGUUUGGGAGGCAAAAGCACCUCCAAGGCCCUGCUGUGCCUUUAGACUGGACGUGUGGACAAGAAUGCGCCCACGGUCUGUGGCCACACAGCCCCUGUGCUAGACAUCGCCUGGUGCCCGCACAAUGACAACGUCAUUGCCAGUGGCUCCGAGGACUGCACAGUCAUGGUGUGGGAGAUCCCGGAUGGGGGCCUGGUGCUGCCCCUGCGGGAGCCCGUCGUCACCCUGGAGGGCCACACCAAGCGUGUGGGCAUUGUGGCCUGGCACACCACAGCCCAGAACGUGCUGCUCAGUGCAGGUUGUGACAACGUGAUCAUGGUGUGGGACGUGGGCACUGGGGCGGCCAUGCUGACACUGGGCCCAGAGGUGCACCCAGACACGAUCUACAGUGUGGACUGGAGCCGAGAUGGAGGCCUCAUUUGUACCUCCUGCCGUGACAAGCGCGUGCGCAUCAUCGAGCCCCGCAAAGGCACUGUCGUAGCUGAGAAGGACCGUCCCCACGAGGGGACCCGGCCCGUGCGUGCAGUGUUCGUGUCGGAGGGGAAGAUCCUGACCACGGGCUUCAGCCGCAUGAGUGAGCGGCAGGUGGCGCUGUGGGACACAAAGCACCUGGAGGAGCCGCUGUCCCUGCAGGAGCUGGACACCAGCAGCGGUGUCCUGCUGCCCUUCUUUGACCCUGACACCAACAUCGUCUACCUCUGUGGCAAGGGUGACAGCUCAAUCCGGUACUUUGAGAUCACUUCCGAGGCCCCUUUCCUGCACUAUCUCUCCAUGUUCAGUUCCAAGGAGUCCCAGCGGGGCAUGGGCUACAUGCCCAAACGUGGCCUGGAGGUGAACAAGUGUGAGAUCGCCAGGUUCUACAAGCUGCACGAGCGGAGGUGUGAGCCCAUUGCCAUGACAGUGCCUCGAAAGUCGGACCUGUUCCAGGAGGACCUGUACCCACCCACCGCAGGGCCCGACCCUGCCCUCACGGCUGAGGAGUGGCUGGGGGGUCGGGAUGCUGGGCCCCUCCUCAUCUCCCUCAAGGAUGGCUACGUACCCCCAAAGAGCCGGGAGCUGAGGGUCAACCGGGGCCUGGACACCGGGCGCAGGAGGGCAGCACCAGAGGCCAGUGGCACUCCCAGCUCGGAUGCCGUGUCUCGGCUGGAGGAGGAGAUGCGGAAGCUCCAGGCCACGGUGCAGGAGCUCCAGAAGCGCUUGGACAGGCUGGAGGAGACAGUCCAGGCCAAGUAGAGCCCCGCAGGGCCUCCAGCAGGGUCAGCCAUUCACACCUAUCCACUCACCUCCCAUUCCCAGCCACAUGGCAGAGAAAAAAAUCAUAAUAAAAUGGCUUUAUUUUCUGGU
rnacentral:sRNA from 1 species